rnacentral:rRNA from 1 species
CAGUCGCCGCGGUAAUACAGAGGGUGCAAGCGUUAAUCGGAAUUACUGGGCGUAAAGCGCGCGUAGGUGGUUUGUUAAGUUGGAUGUGAAAUCCCCGGGCUCAACCUGGGAACUGCAUUCAAAACUGACUGACUAGAGUAUGGUAGAGGGUGGUGGAAUUUCCUGUGUAGCGGUGAAAUGCGUAGAUAUUCGGAAGAACACUAGUGGCGAAGGCGGCUUACUGGCUCAUACUGGACGCUGAGGUGCGAAAGCGUGGGGAGCAAACAGGAUUAGAUACCCCCGUAGUCCCUGUCUCUUAUAC